AUGGCUAAACACACCAACAAGGUCAGGAUCGCCGGUAAGUAAGGGACCCACUAUGGUGCCUCCCUCUGGAAAAUGGUGAAGAAAGCUGAAAUCAGCCAGCGCACCAUGUACACUUGCUCCUUCUGUGGCAAGACAAAGAUGAAGGGACGAGCCGUCAGCAUCUGGCACUGUGGUUCCUGCAUGAAAACAGUGGCCAGCAGGGCCUGGACCUACACCACCACCUCUGCAGUCACAGUGAAGUCUGCCAUCAGACUACUGAAGGAACUGAAAGACCAGUAGAAGCCCUGCCAUCUGAGACUUGCCUAGCCUGCAAUAAACGGGUUAUUUACGUAA